rnacentral:rRNA from 1 species
CAUGAAGCUGGAAUCGCUAGUAAUCGCAGAUCAGAAUGCUGCGGUGAAUACGUUCCCGGGUCUUGUACACACCGCCCGUCACACCAUGGGAGUUGGAAAUGCCCGAAGCCAGUGACCCAACCGUAAGGAGGGAGCUGUCGAAGGUGGAGCCGAUGACUGGGGUGAAGUCGUAACAAGGUAUC